GGAGGGAAGGGACUAAUGCAGAGAAGAACAUGUAGAUGGCUCUGUUCAGGUCUUGGAAUCACAUGACAGCACUACUGUUUUGGCUGCUCGUCCUCUUCCUCUUUGGAAUAGUAGGAGAGUAUUAUUGUAGGUUGAUUGCAUGGGCUGAUUAAGAUUGAUCAGUUGCCGACUAAGACUAAGUUAACUGUAUUGCAUUAUGUUGUGCUGUGUUUAUUUCAUACUUUUUUCGCAAGAAAUUAAUGAAAACAAUUGAGAAAAACUAGAUACCCCGCAUGUUGCUGAGGGAUGUUUCGCAUCAAGUAUGAAUGAGAUGUUGUGGCACAGUUGAGCAGAUUGCAAUCAGACAAAUACUCAUGAACUAUCGAUAUGCUCGGUUGUUUACCGAGCUCAAAAUAAUAUUUGCAUCUAUAAUGAACAAACUGAAAGAGUUUCUUGUUGUGCAAAUCCAUACAUCAAACUAAAAGAGGUAUGAACCAAAUCCACACAUCAAAACACUUGCCGAAAAUCAUUUCUUGCCUAUCCGGUUGUGGGCCAAUAGUAAACUCUCCUAAUAAAGAAUGAACAUAUCGCCGGACAAAGGAAAUUGUAUAUGAGAUUAACUGAAUCCUCGACAUCGUGGUUCAGACCGAUAAAAAUCUACGAUGAAUGUGUGGGAGUUCAUAUGGGCAUCCAGGUUCCGCUAUUGAUUAUUGAUCCGAGAGGUGUCUCGGUCAUGUCGGCAUGUUCUCGAACCCGUAGGAUCACACACUUAAGGUUCUCGGUAACGCUAGGGUAGUAUUGGGAUAUUCAUACUGACGAGACUGAAUAUUGUUUGGAGUCUCAGAUGGGAUCCGAGACAUCAUGAGGAGCUCCGGAAUGGUUCAGAGGUAAAGAUUUAUAUAUGGAAAGUGUUUUUCAGGGUUUCGAAAAAGUUAGGGAAUUUUUUAUGGAGUACCGAGAAGGUUCAGGGGUUCCACCGUGGGGCCCAAUGACCUGGGAAGGGCCCACAUGGACCGAGGAGUGGGCCAACAACCCACAUGGGUUGGUCGCACCAGCUCCCAAGGCCCAUGUCAUUUAAAUCUAGAGAUAAGGUCUUACAUCUAAAUUUAAAGGGUUAAAUCUAGAGAUAAUAUCUUAUCUCUAAAUUUAAAAGGAUUUCUCCCUUGUGGCUGGCCCUAGGAGGGUUUUGGCAGCCCCUCCCUGCCCCCUAGCCUAUAUAAAGAGAGGGGAGGUGCAUGGGGACGGCGACCCAUCCAUUGCUAGCCUGCCUCUCCCAUCUCCCUCCACCUCCUCUCCAGUACAAGCUUAGCGAAGCCCUGACGGAAUUUCGCUGCCACCACCACAACCACGCCAUCAUGUUGGUUCAGAUCCCAUCUACCUCUUAUCCCUUGCUUGCUAAAUCAAAAAGGAGGAGACGUCACCGAGCCGUACGUGUGCACAUCUCGGAGGUGCCGUUCGUGCGGUACUCAGAUCGGAUUGGAUCAUGAAGGAGUACGACUACGCCAACCACGAUCUCUAGAUCGUUAACGCUUUCAGUCUAUAAGGGUAUAUAGACAUACUCCACUCUCGUUGUUAGCAUCUUCAUACAUUAGAUCUUGGGUGUUCCGUAGGAUUUUUUUGUUUUCCAUGCAACUUCCCCAUCAGUGAGUAAUCAAAAUUAGCUGCAAUCUCCGCUCCUUUCCUAUUCUGCGACGUUGGUGUGUACACGGGUGGGAAUUUUCAUGCAGUACGUGUUGGGGAACGUAGCAGAAAUUCAAAAUUUUCUACGCAUCACCAAGAUCAAUCUAUGGAGUAAUCUAGCAACGAGGGAAGGAGAGUGCAUCUACAUACCCUUGUAGAUCGCUAAGCGGAAGCGUUCAAGUGAACGGGGUUGAUGGAGUCGUACUCGUCGUGAUCCAAAUCACCGAUGAUCCUAGUGCCGAACGGACGGCACCUCCGUGUUCAACACACGUACAGCCCGGUGACGCCUCCUACGCCUUGAUCCAGUAAGGGGAGAAGGAGAGGUUGGGGAAGACUCCAUCCAGCAGCAGCACGACGGCGUGGUGGUGGUGGAGGAGCGUGGUACUCCAGCAGGGCUUCGCCAAGCACCGCAAGAGACGAGGAGGGAGAGGGGUAGGGCUGCGCCAAGAAGGAGAUGUUCUCGUGUUUCUGGCAGCCCAAAACCCCCACUAUAUAUAGGGGAAAGGGAGGGGUUGCGCCCCCACCUAGGUUUCCACCCCUAGGGGUGGCGGCCAGCCCUAGAUCCCAUCUAGGGGGCGGCCAAGGGGGGAGAGAGGGGGGCGCACCACUAGGUGGGCCUUAGGCCCAUCUGAGCCUAGGGUUUCCCCUUUUUCCAUUCUCUCUUCGCCUUGGGCCCUGGUGGGGGGGUGCCCAGCCCACCUGGGGCUGGUCCCCUCCCACACUUGGCCCAUGCAGCCCUCCGGGGCUGGUGGACCCACUUGGUGGACCACCGGGACCCUCCCGGUGGUCCCGGUACAUUACCGAUAAAACCCGAAACUUUUCCGGCGACCAAAACAGGACUUCCCAUAUAUAAAUCUUUACCUCCGGACCAUUCCGGAACUCCUCGUGACGUCCGAGAUCUCAUCCGGGACUCUGAACAACAUUCGGUAACCACGUAUAUCUAUUCCCUAUAACCCUAGCGUCAUCGAACCUUAAGUGUAUAGACCCUACGGGUUCGGGAACCAUGCAGACAUGACCAAGACAACUCUCUGGUCAAUAACCAACAGCGGGAUUUGGAUACCCAUGUUGGCUCCCACAUGUUCCACGAUGAUCUCAUCGGAUAAACCACGAUGUCAAGGAUUCAAUCAAUCCCGUAUACAAUUCCCUUUGUCUAGUGGUACGAUACUUGCCCGAGAUUCGAUCGUCGGUAUCCCGAUACCUUGUUCAAUCUCGUUACCGGCAAGUCUCUUUACUCGUUCCGUAACACAUCAUCCCGUGAUCAACUUCUUGGUCACAUUGUGCACAUUAUGAUGAUGUCCUACCGAGUGGGCCCAGAGAUACCUCUCCGUUACACGGAGUAACAAAUCCCAGUCUCGAUUCGUGCCAACCCAACAGACACUUCGGAGAUACCUGUAGUGUACCUUUAUAGCCACCCAGUUACGUUGUGACGUUUGGCACACCCAAAGCACUCCUACGGUAUCCGGGAGUUGCACAAUCUCAUGGUCUAAGGAAAUGACACUUGACAUUAGAAAAGCUUUAGCAUACGAACUACACGACCUUUGUGCUAGGCUUAGGAUUGGGUCUUGUCCAUCACAUCAUUCUCCUAAUGAUGUGAUCCCGUUAUCAAUGACAUCCAAUGUCCAUGGUCAGGAAACCGUAACCAUCUAUUGAUUAACGAGCUAGUCAACUAGAGGCUUACUAGGGACAUGUUGUUGUCUAUGUAUCCACACAUGUAUCUGAGUUUCCUAUCAAUACAAUUCUAGCAUGGAUAAUAAACGAUUAUCAUGAACAAGGAAAUAUAAUAAUAACCAAUUUAUUAUUGCCUCUAGGGCAUAUUUCCAACAGUCUCCCACUUGCACUAGAGUCAAUAAUCUAGUUCACAUCGCCAUGUGAUUAACACUCACAGGUCACAUCGCCAUGUGACCAACAUCCAAGAGUUUACUAGACUCAAUGAUCUAGUUCACAUCACUAUGUGAUAAACACUCAAAGAGUUCUGGGUUUGAUCAUGUUAUGCUUGUGAGGGAGGUUGUAGUCAACGGGUCUUGCCAUAUUCAGAUCCCUAUGUAUUUUGCAAAACUUUAUAUCGUAGAUGCUGCUGCCACGUUCCACUUGGAUCUAUUCCAAAUUUUUGCUCCAUUAUACGUAUCCGAUAUCUCUACUCAGUGCUAUCCGAAUAGGUGUUAAGCUUGCAUCGACGUAACUCUUUACGUCGAACUCUUUAUCACCUCCAUAACCGAGAAACAUUUCCUUAUUCCUCUAAGGAUAAUUUUGACCGCUAUCUGGUGAUCUACUCCUAGAUCACCUUUGUACCCUCUUGCCAGACAUGUGGCAAGGCACACAUCAGGUGCGGUACUUCAGCAUGGCAUACCGUAUAGAGCCUAUGACAAAAGCAUAGGGGACGACCUUCGUCCUUUCUCUUUCUUAUGCCGUGGUCAAGCUUUAAGUCUUACUCAACUUCACACCUUACAACUCAGGUAAGAACCCCUUCUUUGACUGAUCUAUUUUGAACUCCUUCAAAAACAUGUCAAGAUGUGCGUUCUUUGAAAGUACCAUCAGGCGUCUUGAUCUAUCUCUAUAGAUCUUGAUGCCCAAUGUGUAAGCAGCUUUAUCUAGGUCUUCCUUUGAAAAUCACUCUUCAAACAACCGUUUAUGCUUUCCAGAAAUUCUACAUCAUUUCGGAUCAACAAUAUGUCAUCCACAUAUACUUAUCAGAAAUGUUGUAGUGCUCCCACUCACUUUCUUGUAAAUACAAGUUUCUAGCAAACAUUGUAUAAACCUAAAAGCUUUGAUCACUCCAUUAAACAUAUAUUCCGAUUGCGAGAUGCUUGCUCUAGUCCAUAGAAGGAUUGCUGGAGCCAGCAUACCUUUUAGCGUCCUUAGGAUCGACAAAACCUUUUAUUGUAUCACAUACAACUUUUCUUACGAAAACUUGGUAAGAAAUCUUGUUUUGACAUCCAUCUGUAAGAUUUCAUAAUCAAAAAAUACAGCUAAUGCUAUCAUGAUUCCGACAGACUUAAGCAUCGCUACGGGUGAGAAAUUCUCAUCGUAGUCAACUCCUUGAACUUGUGAAAAAAUUCUUUCCCACAAGUCGAGCUUCUUAGACGGUAACAUUACCUCCCACGUCCGUCUUCUUCUUAAAUAUCCAUUUAUCUCAAUGGCUUGCCGAUCAUCGGGCAAGUCCAUCAAAGUCUAUACUUUGUUCUGAUAUAUGGAUCCUAUCUCGGAUUUCAUGGCUUCUAACCAUUUGUCGGAAUACGGGCCCACCAUCGCUUCUCCAUAGCUCGUAGGUACAUUGUUGUCUAACAACAUGAUAUCUAAGACAGGAUUACCGUACCACUCAGGAGUAGUACAUAUCCUUGUCGACCUACGAGGUUCGAUAGCAACUUGAUCCGAAGCUUCAUGAUCACUAUCAUUAACUUCCUAUUCAACAGACGUAGGUGCCACAGAAAACAUCUUUCUAUGUUGCAUCAUUCUCUGGUUGAAAUAAAGGUUCGACAACCUCAUCAAGUUCUAUCUUCCUCCCACUCAAUUCUUUCGAGAGAAACUCCUUCUCGAGAAAGGACCCGUUCUUAGCGACAAACAAUUUGCCCUCGGAUCCGAGAUAGAAGGUAUACCCAACUGUCACCUUUGGGUAUCCUAUGAAGAUGUGUUUGUCCGCUUUUGGGUUCGAGCUUCUCCUGCUAAAGCCUUAAGCAUCGCAACCCCAAACAUUAAGAAACGACAACUUUGGUUUCUUGCCAAACCAAUGUUCAUACGACGUCAUCUCAACGGACUUAUAUGGUGUCCUAUCUAAAGUGAAUGCAGCUGUCUAUAACGCAUAACCUCAAAAUAAUAGCGGUAGAUCGGUAAGAGACAUCAUAGAUCGCACCAUAUCUCAUAGGGUUUGAUUACGAUGUUCGGACACACCAUUACCCUGUGGUGUUCCAGGUGACUUCAACUGUGAAACAAUUCCACAAUGUCUUAAGUGUUUGCCAAUACUCAUAACUCAGAAAUUCUCAUUGAUCAGAUCGUAGGAAUUUGAUCUUCUUGUUAUGAUGAUUCUUAACUUCACUCUGAAAUCGCUUGAACUUUUCAAACGUUUCAGACUUGUGCUUCAUUAAGUAAAUAUACCUAUAUCUACUCAAAUCGUCAAUGAAGAUGAGAAAAUAGCGAUAUCCACUGCACGCUUCAAUUCUCAUUGGAUCACACGCAUCAGCAUGUAUGAUUUCCAACAAGUCACUUGCCCGUUUCAUCGUACCUGAAAACGGGGUCUUAGUCAUCCUGCCCAUGAGGCAUGGCUCACAUGUGUCAAGUGAUUCAAAAUCAAGUGACUCCAAACAUCCAUCGACAUGGAGUUUCUUCAUGCAUCUUACGCCAAUAUGACCUAAGCGGCAGUGCCACAAGAAAGUGGUACUAUCAUUAUUAACUCUACAUCUUUUGGCGUGGACAUGUGUAUUACCACGACCGAGAUUCAAUGAACCAUUCACAUAGGGUGCAUGACCAUGAAAGGUAUCAUUCAUGUAAACAGAAUAACUAUUAUUCUCUAACUUAAAUGAAUGACCGUCUUGCAAUGAACAUGAUCUAAUCAUACUCAUGCUCAACGUAGACACCUGAUAACAUUUAUCUAGGUUCAAUACUAAUCCCGAAGGCAGAUGGAGCAUGCGAUGGUGAUCUCAUCAACUUUGGAAACACUUCCAACACACAUCGUCACCUCGCCCUUAGCCAGUCUCCGUUUAGUCCGUAGCUUUUGCUUCAAGUCACCAAUAAUAGCAACUGAACCGGUAUCCAAUACCCAGGUGCUACCAGGAGUACUAGUGAGGUACACAUUAAUAACACGUAUAUACUUUGUUGAAGUUGCCAGCCUUCUUAUCUGCCAUGCAUUUGGGGUAAUUCCGCUACCAGUGUCCGUUCCCCUUACAAUAGAAGCACUUAGUCUCGGGUUUGGUUCAACCUUGGGUUCCUUCACUAGAGCGGCAACUGAUUUGCCAUCCAUGAAGUUUCCCUUCUAGCCCUUGCCCUUCUUGAAACCAGUGGUCUUGUUAAACCAUCAACACUUGAUGCUCCUUCUUGAUUUCUACCUUCUGCGGUCUUAAGCACCGCGAUCAGCUCCGGGAUCAACUCCAUCCCUUGCAUGUCAUAGUUCAUCACGAAGAUCUAGUAGCUUAGUGAUAGUGGCUAGAGAACUCUAUUAAUCACUAUCUUAUCUGGAAGUUUAACUCCCACUUGAUUUAAGUGAUUAUAGUACCCAGACAUUCUGAGCACAUGCUCACUAGCUGAGCUAUUCUCCUCCAUCUUGUUGGCAAAAGAACUUGUCAGAGGUCUCACACCUCUCAACACGGGCAUGAGCCUGAAAUCCCAAUUUCAGCUCUUGGAACAUCUCAUAUGUUCUAUGGCGUUUAAAACGUCAUUGGAAUCCCGUUUCUAAGCCGUAAAGUAUGAUGCACUAAACUAUCAAGUAGUCAUCAGGAUGUGUCUGUCAGGUGUUCACAACAUCCACAGACGACGUGGUAGGGGUUUGCACAUCGAGUGGUGCAUCAAAGACGUAAGCCUUUUGUGUAGCAGUGAGGACACUCCUCGGACUACGGACCUAGUCCGUAUCAUUGCUUACAAUAUCUUUCAACUUAAUCUUUCUCUUGGAACAUAUUGAAACAGGGAGCUACAACAUGAGCUAUUUAUCUACAACAUAUUUGCAAAGACAAUUUAGACUAUGUUCAUGAUAAUUGAGUUCAUUUAAUGAACUCCCACUCAGAUAGACAUCCCUCUAGUCAUCUAAGUGAAACAUGAUCCGAGUCAACUAGGCCGUGUCCGAUCAUCACGUGAGACGGACUAGUCAACAUCGGUGAACAUCUUCAUAUUGAUCGUAUCUUCUAUACGACUCAUGCUCGACCUUUCGGUCUUCCGUGUUCCGAGGCCAUGUCUAUACAUGCUAGGCUCAUCAAGUCAACCUAAGUGUUUUUGCUGUGUAAAUCUGGCUUACACCCGUUGUAUUCGAACGUUAGAAUCUAUCACACCCGAUCAUCACGUGGUGCUUCGAAACAACGAACCUUCGCAAUGGUGCACAGUUAGGGGGGACACUUUUCUUGAAAUUUUAGAGAGGGGUCAUCUUAUUUAAGCUACCGUCAUUCUAAGAAAAUAAGAUGUAAAACAUGAUAAACAUCACAUGCAAUCAAAUAGUGACAUGAUAUGGCCAAUAUCAUUUUUGCUCCUUUUGAUCUCCGUCUUCGGGGCUCCAUGAUCAUCGUUGUCACCGGCAUGACACCAUGAUCUACAUCAUCAUGAUCUCCAUCAUAGUGUCUUCUUGAAGUUGUCUCGUCAUCUAUUACUUCUACUACUAUGGCUAACGCUUUAGCAAUAAAGUAAAGUAAUUACAUGACGUUUAAGUUGACACGCAGGUCAUAAAUAAAUUAAGACAACUCCUAUGGCUCAUGCCGGUUGUCAUACUCAUUGACAUGCAAGUCGUGAUUCCUAUUACAAGAACAUGAUCAAUCUCAUACAUCACAUAUAUCAUUCAUCACAUCCUUUUGGCCAUAUCACAUCACAAGGCAUAUGCUGCAAAAACAAGUUAGACGUCCUCUAAUUGUUGUUGCAAGUUUUUACGUGGCUGCUAUAGGUUUCUAGCAAGAACGUUUCUUACCUACGCGAAAACCACAACGUGAUAUGCCAAUUUCUAUUUACCCUUCAUAAGGACCCUUUUCAUCGAAUCCGAUCCGACUAAAGUGGGAGAGACAGACACCCGCUAGCCACCUUAUGCAACUAGUGCAUGUCAGUCGGUGGAACCAGUCUCACGUAAGAGUACGUGUAAGGUCGGUCCGGGCCGCUUCAUCCCACGAUGCCGCCGAAUCAAGAUAAGACUAGUAACAGCAAGUAAAUUGACAAAAUCGACGCCCACAAUGGCUUUGUGUUCUACUCGUGCAUAGAAACUACGCAUAAACCUGGCUCAUGAUGCCACUGUUGGGGAACAUAGCAGAAAUUCAAAAUUUUCUACGCAUCACCAAGAUCAAUCUAUGGAGUAAUCUAGCAACGAGGGAAGGAGAGUGCAUCUACAUACCCUUGUAUAUCUCUAAGCGAAAGCGUUCAAGUGAACGGGGUUGAUGGAGUCAUACUCGUCGUGAUCCAAAUCACCGAUGAUCCUAGUGCCGAACGGACGACACCUUCGUGUUCAACACACGUACAGCCCGGUGACGUCUCCUACGCCUUGAUCCAGCAAGGGGAGAAGGAGAGGUUGGGGAAGACUCCAUCCAGCAGCAGCAUGACGGCGUGGUGGUGGUUGAGGAGUGUGGUACUCCAGCAGGGCUUUGCCAAGCACCGCAAGAGACGAGGAGGGACAGGGGUAGGGCUGCGCCAAGAAGGAGAUGUUCUCGUGUUUCUGGCAGCCCAAAAUCCCCACUAUAUAUAGGGGAAAGGGAGGGGCUGCGCCCCCACCUAGGUUUCCACCCCUAGGGGUGGCGGCCAGCCCUAGAUCCCAUCUAGGGGGCGGCCAAGGGGGGAGAGAGGGGGGGCGCACCACUAGGUGGGCCUUAGGCCCAUCUGAGCCUAGGGUUUCCCCUUUUUCCCUUCUCUCUUCGCCUUGGGCCCUGGUGGGGGGCGCACCGGCCCACCUGGGGCUGGUCCCCUCCCACACUUGGCCCAUGCAGCCCUCUGGGGCUGGUGGCCCCACUUGGUGGACCACCGGGACCCUCCCAGUGGUCCCGGUACAUUACCGAUAAAACCCGAAACUUUUCCGGCGACCAAAACAGGACUUCCCAUAUAUAAAUCUUUACCUCCGGACCAUUCCGUCACUCCUCGUGACGUCCGGGAUCUCAUCCGGGACUCCGAACAACAUUCAGUAACCAUGUAUAUCUAUUCCCUAUAACCCUAGCGUCAUCGAACCUUAAGUGUGUAGACCCUACGGGUUCGGGAACCAUGCAGACAUGACCGAGACAACUCUCCGGUCAAUAACCAACAGCGGGAUCUGGAUACCCAUGUUGGCUCCCACAUGUUCCACGAUGAUCUCAUCGGAUGAACCACGAUGUCAAGGAUUCAAUCAAUCCCGUAUACAAUUCCCUUUGUCUAGCGGUACGAUACUUGCCUGAGAUUCGAUCGUCGGUAUCUCGAUACCUUGUUCAAUCUCGUUACCGGCAAGUCUCUUUACUCGUUCUGUAACACAUCAUCUCGUGAUCAACUCCUUGGUCACAUUGUGCACAUUAUGAUGAUGUCCUACCGAGUGGGCCCAGAGAUACCUCUCCGUUACACGGAGUAACAAAUCCCAGUCUCGAUUCGUGUCAACCCAACAGACACUUUCGGAGAUACCUGUAGUGUACCUUUAUAGCCACCCAGUUACAUUGUGGCGUUUGGCACACCCAAAGCACUCCUACGGUAUCCGGGAGUUGCACAAUCUCAUGGUCUAAGGAAAUGACACUUGACAUUAGAAAAGCUUUAGCAUACAAACUACACGAUCUUUGUGCUAGGCUUAUGAUUGGGUCUUGUCCAUCACAUCAUUUUCCUAAUGAUGUGAUCCCGUUAUCAAUGACAUCCAAUGUCCAUGGUCAGGAAACCGUAACCAUCUAUUGAUUAACGAGCUAGUCAACUAGAGGCUUACUAGGGACAUGUUGUUGUCUAUGUAUCCACACAUGUAUCUGAGUUUCCUAUCAAUACAAUUCUAGCAUGGAUAAUAAACGAUUAUCAUGAACAAGGAAAUAUAAUAAUAAUCAAUUUAUUAUUGCCUCUAGGGCAUAUUUCCAACAGUACGCUCCCGUCGAUUAUUGGCCUAAAGGAUUAACUAUUGAAUAAAUAGCAAGAGAAUUAGGUGUCGUGGCAGUUAUGGGCCUAACUAAACGAUGCUAUUUUUAUGUCUUAGGCAAACAAAAUUAGAGCCAACCGCUGAUUACCUAGGUCCCAAAGAUUCAACAUGCAUGUCGAGUAAACUGUGACGGAGGGAGUAACAAGAAUUGAAGUAUAAAGAGAGCAUCAAAAAGCAUGUAACAAGCACAUUUAAGUCUAAUCCACUUUCUAUGCAUAGGCAUCUUAUAAGUAAAGAAAAUAUUAAGACAAAAAAUAUCUAGCAUAUGCAAGGAAUGUGAAUGAAACAUUGACAAUCUCAACAUAAUGAGAUGUAAUUUAGGAACAUGAUUUUUUAUAACAAUGCUCGCCUCUCUCGAAAUAACUACAUGUAGGAUCAUAAUCGAAUACAACAAUAUAUCCAUCAUAUAAAAAAAUUUCUUCAUGAUCCACAUGUAUACAAAAUCUACAAUCUUCCAAGAUAGUGGGAUUAAUAUCAACCAAAGUCAUGACCUCUCCAAACCCACUUUUAUAAAAAAAUCAUAAGAUUUGAUCAUUAUCUAAAGUAGUGGGAUCAUUGUUACAUAAAGUUGAUGCUCUUACAAACCCACUUUAAAUAGUAUUGCAAACAGUAUUAUCAAUAACAUAUUCAAUAUGAGGCUCAAAUAAACUCUCGAUAUCAGAAGAAGCAUCAUAAUUAUCACACAAUCAUGAUCAUUACAAUAAGUAGUAGGCAUAACAAAAUGAUCAUCAAUAGUGCCUACCGACAUAGUUUCACAAUAAAAAGCAAUAUUUUCAUCAAUUGUAUCAUAUUCAUCACUUGAGUCAUAAGAAUUAUCAUAUUUUUAUUUUAUAACUUCUUCAUUAGUAGGGGGACUAAAAAUAUCAUACACAUCAAACUCAUCAUCCCCAAACUUGUAGCUUUGCAUAUCAUAAGCACAAUUGACAUUCAUGGAAUUCAUACUAGCAUCAUUGAAAUCAUGCUUUUCAUUCAAGGAACUAUCAUGAAUCACUCUGUAAAAUUCUUCUUUUAACACUUCAUAACAAAGGCAAGGGGUGGUCACUCCCCUUGUUCUUGCUAGUUGCAUGUAUCAAAUCUGGUAAUGGUAGAUACAAUAAUAUAAGUAAAGUAGAACAACAAAAAAUUGUAAGAUCGCUUGAAUAUAACUAAGAAUGAACUCGAGGGCCAUAGACUCACUAGAGGCAUCUCUCUCAGAAAUGGCAUCGGUGGGUAAACAUUUUUUUUGUUGGGAAAUUAACAAAAAAGCACAUAGUUAUGAUGAUUAUCCAAAGCAUGGUCAAUAUAUAGGCAUUACGUCUGUGACAAGUAGACCGUUAAACUUAUCGACAUCUACUACUAUUACUCCACCCCAAUACCGCUAUCCAGCAUGCAUCUCAAAUUAUUAAGUUCAUGACAAACAGAGUAAUGCAUUAAGCAAGAUGACAUAAUGUAGAUAGAAUAAGGGCAACUAAUAUGACCAAACCCCGUUGUUUUACCCUUAGUAGCAACAAUACAAAUGUGUGCCUCACCCACCUGUCACAGAGCAAGACUAACCGCAAGAUUGAACCUACUACUAAGCACCUCUCCCACUGAAGAUAAAUCAAUCUACUUGGCCAAAGAAGACAGAUAGAUUGGAGAGAAAUACAAGGUUAUGAAACUACACAAUCAAAGAGAUCUCAAAGGACAUAAAUAAUAUCAACGAAUAAUAUGAUCAUUAACCCAUAAUUCAUCGGAUCCCAACAAACACACCGCAAAGAUUACAUAGAAUACAUCUCAGAGGAGAUCAUUGUAUUGAAGAUCAAAAGAGAGAUAACAAGCCAUCUAGGUACUACUAUGGACCUAUAGGUCUUGAAGAAACUACUCACACAUCAUCACGGAGGCAACAAGGUUGAUGAAGAUAGCCUCCCCAAUGCUUCCUUCCUUUGACAAAGUACCAGAAAAGGCUUCCAGAUGGGAUCGCGGAAGAACAGAGGCUUGCGGUGACGAAAUAAUUGUUUGUCUCACUUCAGGUUUUUUUGGAAUACAUGGGAAUUUAUUGGCCAAGAAGGGCAAAUGGAGUCAUGAGCGGCCCACAAGCCAGGGUGGCACACCUUACCUCUAGGGUGUGCCCCCUUCCUUGUGGCCGCCUCGUGGGUAUUCUGGUCCUUCCUUCAAACUUCCAUGGUCUCUUAUUAUCAAGAAAAAAUCAUCAAAAAGUUUCAUCGUGUUUGGACUUCUGUAGGUAUAGUUUUCCUGCGAAACAAAAACAUGCAGAAAAUAGGAACUGGCACUGGGCACUAAAUUAAUAGGUUAGUCCAUAAAAAUAAUAUAAAAGUAAUAAUAUAAUAGCAUGAAACAAUAAAAAGCUAUAGAUAUGUUGGAGACGUAUCAAUACAUGUAUUGUAUUGUUGCUACUAAGGGUAAAGAUGGUUUCUUUUAUCACAAUUGGAUGAUAUUUUUACCGGCUAUAUUAUUUCAUCAUGCUUAUUGCAAUGCUUUGUUUGUCAUGGAUUUAAUACUUCGAUAUUCAUUCUGGAUAGCGGUCUUGGGUUGAAGUAUUAGUUGUAGAUGUAGUUGGAUAAUACUCUACAUAUCACGGGCGUAAUGGCUACAUGAGAUUAUACUAUGAAUAUUCAUUGCCAUAAAUAUAAAUAUUGUAAUUUAAUCGCUGCACAACUGUAAUUUGUCCACCACACCGCACUUAUAUAUGCUUGGAGAGAUGUCAGUAGUGAACCUACGGCCAUGGGGUCUAUUUUACUUUACUGAAAACGUCACCAAAAAUAUUAUUCUUUGUUGUGCUUUUUAUUUAUUUUAUCUAUCUAUCUAUCAAUUCCUACCAUAUGGUGCAAUUUAGAAGAAAAAAAAUACAAUUAUAUUAGCUCUUCAUAGACAAACUUGGGGUUUGCGAGCCAAGGUAAGAUCGGUUUGGGAGGGGCAAAGGGAAUUUCUGGUGGAGCAGUGAAAUGCAUUGAGAUCGAAAAGAACACCAACGGCAAAAACAGUCGCUGGGUCGACACUGACACGAAGAGACGAAAGCUAGGGGAGCAAAUGGGAAUCUUGUAACUAGCAAGACACACACGUGCUGACCACCCUGACGAGAGACCAAAUGCUAACACAUACACAACAGGUACUACACACGUGUCGAUGCUAACACACGCAAUCAAAGUGGAGCACACUAAAGAUCAGAACACAGUCUAUGUUCGGAUCAGAACAGACAAAUAUUUAAGCUUUCAAAAUGAAAAUAAGAGGAUGAACUAGUAUGAUUUAUCCUUUUCUUCAAGGGAUCCCCCCCCCCCCUCGUUAUAUGUUUACAUAUAUUAUGUAGUAAGUGGUAACCAUUUCACUUCUGUCAACUAUGCUUUACCAGACGGAUGUGUAACAUUGAAGGGCUCGACUAUAUGUCGCUGCUCCAAUUGUUACCAUUGGGCCGACCAAGUAGUUACCUACAGGUAAGUUUGUUUCCUUUGGUUUUUUUCAUCCGUUCAUUUCGCCUUUCUUGUGUUCAUGUUUUUGAAACUAUUAUAAAAUACAUAUAUAUUCCAAAAACAUAAAUAAACUUACAAAACAAUAUAAACCGCAAAUUUGGGAAAUGUAAAAAUGUUAGCAUAGUUUUAAAAAAUUGAUAGCAUUCUGCAUUUAAAAAAUGUGUUCAUGAUAUUUUUUAAAAAGUUAAUAUAAUGGGAAAAGGUGUUCAUGUAGUCUAAAAAUGUUUCGUCUCAUGAAAAAAACUAACAUGUACCUAAAAAAUGUUUAACACAAUUUUGAAAAAACUGAUCAUGAACAUGUGUUUGAGAAAUGUUAAUCUUGUAUUUGGAAAUUGUUAAACAUGUAUAAAAAUGUUUCAGGUGUAUACGGAAAAUGUACAAUGUGUGUGAAAAAGGGUGGACAUCAAAACCUAUAUUUGAAAAAAAAUCAUGUAUUUGAGAAAUGUAAAAUGCACAAAUUUUCAUAUGUAUUUGAAGAAUGUAAAAUAUGUAUAGAAAAACUUUUGAAAAGUAUGAAUCAUGUAUUUUAAAAAUAUUAACCAUGUUUAAAAAAUGUUCCUGUUUUAUACAAAAAUUUACAUGUGUAUGGGAAUAGUAGACAUGUGUUAAAAAACAAGAAAAAAUGGGAAAACAUAAAAUCCAGUAGAGAAACACAGAAAACCAAAACCAAAAGAAAUCCGAUGAAAAUCGCAAGGAAAACACACAAUAGAGAAAAACAAAAGAGAAAACCGAUAAGGCGAUGAAAACUAUACAGAAAACCAAUAGAAGGAAAGAAGAAACAAAAAACCCUAUAAAACCCAAAGGAAAUCGAGAAAGACGUAAAACAAAAUAAAACCGAUGAGAAAUGUAAAGAAAACACACACAAAAAGAGAAAACAAAUGAUAUAAGUAAUUCUUCAAUUCAUUUGCAUGCCUUGUAUUUCACGUGGACAUAAAGAGUUGCAACUCAGUGCACAUUUGGCAUAUUAUACAUUAUUCCUAUGGUUUUAACUGAUUGAUUGCUUACUUAGAAAUGCCGAUUAGGAGUGAUGUUGUAGAAAUAAAUGAAGUUUCCUUGAAGAUAAACAAAUGAAGAUUACAUUCUUGUGUUACUUGUAGAUAGAAUGAUAAGUCUUUGAUUUUAUUUGGCAUGUGGUAUAUGAAUUAUUUUUUCUUUCAGAGCAGUGUAAUUGACCUAUUUAUGUUGUGUUACAGCUUGGAAUAUAAUUUAAGUUUACAUUAUGAAAAUUAUCCUGCUUUGGAGUGCGGCGUACUAAUAAGUAUAUUACGAAGGAUNNNNNNNNNNNNNNNNNNNNNNNNNNNNNNNNNNNNNNNNNNNNNNNNNNNNNNNNNNNNNNNNNNNNNNNNNNNNNNNNNNNNNNNNNNNNNNNNNNNNNNNNNNNNNNNNNNNNNNNNNNNNNNNNNNNNNNNNNNNNNNNNNNNNNNNNNNNNNNNNNNNNNNNNNNNNNNNNNNNNNNNNNNNNNNNNNNNNNNNNNNNNNNNNNNNNNNNNNNNNNNNNNNNNNNNNNNNNNNNNNNNNNNNNNNNNNNNNNNNNNNNNNNNNNNNNNNNNNNNNNNNNNNNNNNNNNNNNNNNNNNNNNNCACUGUUGGAUAAACAAAGAAUCAUGUAUAAAACACACACAAGGCCAUUGACCACAUAAUUUUUGGACCAAAUCAGGUAAUUUGCUAUGUACUUCAUAUCAGGUUUGUGAUGAGGAAUUACUACUGCUAUUUGUAUUUAUGCAACUCAGAGUAAAAUUUUGUAUAAUAACUUCGCAGAAUGAAAUGAUAUGGAAAUUAUCUACGUCGGCUUCAGGAACAUUUACUCUUCUGAAAUAAUAUCACUAUACCUUUGGUCUUCAAAUGAAAUUGGAGGCUGCUAAGUGAUGUAUUUAAAAAAUGUCUUUUGCCAGUACCUCUUAAUGUACUAGAUGAUGAACAGGCAUUUAAUUUUCAUAAUGUUCAUAAUCCAUAUGGAUAAGAUAAAACGACAUAGUAAUAUAUAAUGAACGUAUGCGUAUAGCAUUCUGGCUGUAACUUUUUGAGAAAUGUAAGAUGAUGGUGUUUUCACUUUUUAUAUAAAUCAUCUUCUAUAUAAUGUGUUUCAUGUUGCUACAUGCACAAAAAUCACACAUGAGCCAUAUGACUCCAAUUGCAAUAAUACUGAGUAUCUAGGGGACACACAGAACAAGGCCGCUAACAAAGCAACCUCCACGGGCCUUCAAGCAUUUUUCAAAUGCUUGAUUAACAUUUGGGCCCAAGACAUGCACUGUGGCAGUGAGCCAGAUCAGAAAGUUUUAUCAUUUUUUAUACAUGGUCGAUAUUUUUUCUAUACGCAUGUAAUGUUUUUCAAAUGCUUAAUUUACAUUUUUCAAGUACUUGUUCAAUUUUUUUCAAAUGCUUGAUUAACAUUUUUCAAAUACAUGACAAUUUUUUAAUUUUUUUUGCAUAUACGUGAUAAACAUUUUCGCUAUACACAUUUAACAUUUUCUAAUGCUUGGUCAACAUUUUCUAAAUGUUUAUGUAAGUUUUUUGUAAUAUAUAUUUAUAAUUUUUUAAAUAUAAACAAAGUAAAGGAGUUAAGCAAAAAAGAACAUAGAAAACGUUAAAAACAGAAAAAGAAGGCUGUAGCCUCCCGGGCGGCUUUGCCGACCCAUCUGGGCUCCCGGACACGAGGCUUGCCCUCUGUCUCCUUACGUUGAGACAUAGGGGCGCCCUGCGAUUGAUCAAUUGGGGGAGGGGGCGCUCGGGUGGUCAAACCAGGCCGCGGUCCCAAAGCAGUGGAACAAAAUGAAAUGACCUGAUAAAAAAUUUGGGCCCCUUAGGAUUUGGGGGCCGCAUGCGGUCGCACUGCUCGCACAGCCCCCUAGAUGGCCAUGGAUCAGUGGGUAUAAAUAUAUAGUUAGCAAUUUAAACUAAAAAUCUUCCCCCAAGUAAACCAACAAACAUCAACUAUAAGAUGUAAUCAACACUACUAGCACAGGUGCCAAUCUGAGAUUUGAUACAAAGAUUGAAUACAAGAGAUUGACUAGGGUUUAUAGAUGACAUGGUGCUAAUGAAGAUAUUGAUGAAGAUGAUGACUUCCACAAUGAGGGAAGCAUUGGUACACCAUUCAAAAAAAGAGGAGCGUUGGUGAUGAUGAAGGCUUCGAUUUGCCCCUCCUGGAGGAAAGUUUCCCUAGCGGAAUAGCUUCGCUAGAGAGAAAAUGUGAUCUUGCCCUGGUUCCACCUCGAGACGGCGACCUGAAGUCCCAAACGUGUUCUCUCUAUUUUUUUUCUAGGGAAAAUGAAGAUAUAGGACCAAUGGACGCUGGCAGAGGAGGCUUAGGGCCCCCACAAGGCUAGGUGGCGCCACCUACCCUUGUGCGCGGUUGGUUGGGCCUCCUCUGACCCAUUCUUGCUCUGGUAUUUUUAUAUAUUCCAAAAUAAAUCUUUAAAAAGUUUCACUUCAUUUUCAGCUCUGGAGAAUUGUUAUCUCUGUUGUAGCUUUUUCAUGUCAGAAUUCCAGCUGCCGGUAGUCCCUUGUUUUGAUGUAUCUUGCAUUUUAAGAAAGAAAAGGCAUUAGAAUUGGAUUAAAAAGUGAAAUAUAACAUUGAAAUAAAAUAUAUCAGUAGGAAAUAAAGAUGCAAAAUGGACGUAUCAUGCUUUUAGUAAAUUUCAUAUCAAUAAAUUAGCAUCUUGUAUUUACGGUAAUGUACAAAAUCCUAACUACCAAAGCCUAGCGUAAAAUCGUACAUAUGCCACUGAUCGAGAAGCGAAAAGGCAAUCACAGUGAUUGCACUAAAGACCAGAACACACGUGAACACAAUCUGCCUAUGUGUUCUGAUCAGCGGGGUGACUGUGUUCAUGUGUGUUCUGAUGAACAUUGUACAGAUUUCAAAAUGAAAAUAAGAGAAUGAACUAGCGUAAACCAUAGAGUUGUUUAAAUAUGAACACUGUACAGAUUUCAAAAUGAAAAUAAGAGAAUGAACUAGUAUGUUUUUUGGGUGGGCGGGUGUAUUUACAUAUAUAUGUUUGUAUAGUAGUACUCUUAUGCAGUAUCAUCCUACUCUAAUUAUAUUAUUUAGUAAGCAGUAAACCAUUUCACAUUUGUCUGCUAUGCCUUUAUCAUACCUAUAUAACUUUGGAGGGCGGCUAUAUGUCGCUGCUCUCCCGUCCUUACUAUUGGGCCGACCAAAUAGUUCAUUUUUACCUUUCUUUUGUUCAUAUUUUAAAACCAUUAUAAAAUACAUAUAUUUCAGAAACUUAAAUCAGCUUAAAAAAAUUAGAAACCAAUAUUUGAGAAAUGUUAAAGCAGUACAAAAAAAUUAGCGUAGUUUAGAAAUUGAUAGCAUUAAAAAAUAUUCACACAUUUCAAAAAAUAUGUUCAUGACAAUAAUAAGUGCGUUUAUACAAUAGAAAAUUUUCUUUUGUAGUUUUAAAAAAAUGUUUCAUAACAUGAAAAAAAAUCAACAUGUACUUGAAAAAUGUUUAACACCUAAAAUAAGGCAACCUCCACGGGCCUGGAAGCAUCUGGCCCUCCCUUUUUCUCACUCUCUUUCGGGCCCAACACGCGCACUGCGGGAGUGAGACAGAUCCAUCCCACCCACCCACCCCCAACCCCGUCGGCCACCACGCGCACACACACAGAGGCGCAGACCCAGACGAGCGCGAGACCGGACCGAGAAGCGGCGGACGGCGGCGAUGGGCGGCGGAGGCGCGCACGGCGGCACGACGUACAAGGGCUACACCAUCCCCCACAACAAGCGCUGGCACACCAUCGCCGGCAAGGGCCUCUGCGCCACCAUGUGGUAAUCGCCCGCCCGCUCGAUCCCCUCUCCUCCCUCCCGCCGCCGCUCCGACGCCCGCUUUCCCCGGUCGACCCUGGCCCGAACGGGGACGCACGGUGGAUUUGAUUGGGAACUCUUUGUUCCAAACGCACGAUUUGGGGAUCUAGAGUGGGAGGUGCUCGGUCGCGCGUGCUGUCUGUCCGAUCUGGUUCUGUCUCGUCCAUGCGAUUCGCCGCCCGCUCCGUCGCCGGAGCCGUGGUGAUUGUAGUAGGAAGUUCCAUAGGGAGUUGUUGUGAUUUGGUCUUCCAGGUUCUUAUACUAGGAAGGCAACCACCUCCAGCUGCAUUUGCCCUGUGCUAUUCUUGAACAAAGACCAAAAAGAAAUCUCCCCUUCAGCCGUAGCAAGCGGUGUACUGUGCCGUUUUUAUCAGUUCCCAACGUUACGACAAUAGGGUGAUCAUCUACCCAGGUUAGCAAACAAGCGGGGUUGAUCAUCUGCACAGGUUAUCAUAUACUCUGGUACCUUCAACCGUAGUAACUGUGGUGCGUGUCAUUUUUAUCAGUUUCCAACCAUGCGACAAGAGGAUGACCAUCUACCCAGGUUAGCAAACAAGUGUGUAAUCAUGUUCCCAAGGUUCAGGGUAGUGCCUUCAGUAUGAAGGCCUCAUGCUGAGCAUUAAAUUUGAGCAAGCUGGUACUGGUAUAUCUUUACAACCUUAUGUCAAGUGAAAGAGGCGCCUGGUGUUAGGAGCGUAUAACCUUUGUAUCUUCAUUACACAAGACAUCUGGAACCUAUAGUAACAACCAAUCAACUAUACAAGAAACAAUGAUGGUUUAAUCCAUUGACCGUUUUCUCCAUCAUAACUGGAGUAAUUAUCAGUUCGCAACCAAAAUGCCAUGACUUCAGGAAAAAGAACACACACAUGCCACAAAGAAGCAUGUUAAGGCUUUUGUUCCACUCAGCUUUUCUUCUUCAACCUGCUGAAUCCUUUUUGUUAUUUUCCAUUUAGUUAUCAAGUCUUUCACCGCCCAUGUCCAGAUUCUUCCUGCGUAAUUUACCAUAACCAGACUAGCGUAAUUGCAUUGAUGCUCUAGAUCAAAAUAUCAAAGUUGGCUAUGUUUUUCAAAUUCAAACUUGGCAUCUUCGAUUGUAUGUUGAUUGUGCCUGUGCUCUGUAUUUUUAAGCAUAUCCAGGCAUAAGUAUCAUUCUAUAUAUCUAUCCUUAGAUCUAUAAACCAUUUAUUUUAACAGCACGCAAGCUUUUGCUGUUACAAACUUAAUCAAAGUUAACCUCUCUACAGGUUUUGGAUUUUCUACAGGGCUAAGCAGGACGGCGCUGUGCUCUUGGUAUUGCUCUAUUCUAUUUCGGUUUUCGUCCUUCCACUCUACACAUGUUCUUGAUUUACUUGCAUACAUGGUUAAUGAUAUCAAUGUUUUCAGGGUAUGCGUCAUCCUUGGGAUGGCCAUGAUGAUCACGCGCAUGGUCAUGGACAUGCACACGAGCAUGAGGUAUUGGCUUCAGAUCACACCUCCACUCUUUUUGUAUGGGCUUUUGUCCUUUAACUUUCUGUGAACGAAUUGAAUUGGUUGCUCCUGUUUCGUUCCUGGUCUUGUUAACAGUCUGUUUGUUAUCUUGUCAACUUGAUCUGACUGUUCUUCUCUUUUGCUAUGAAUUGCUUUGUAUUGUUGUUUUCAGCAGUUUUACUUUUCAUAAUGUGAGAACCGUAGUAGUAGAAAUAUUGCAAGAUUAGAGGAAUGUUGGUUUCUGCAUAUCUUAUCAUCUUCAAUGUUAUCAAGUUUAGAGACUUAUUGACAGAUCAUUACAACUCAGGAAAGCAAAUUUAUCACGUGUUGUGAGUUGCAUAAUCAUUUUUUAAACCUUGCUGCAUAAUCAUUUCAAUGGCAUGCUAUGUUUAUGCGUGUCUGUAGGGAGUUAGAGCUACCAAGUAGUGGUAGUCGAUGUUAUACAUCCUCUUGGUAGUUCCUAGACAGUUUAUCAACUGAGGUCAAAGUUACGUUUUUCUUA
rnacentral:lncRNA from 1 species